UGGGGAAUUUUGGACAAUGGGCGAAAGCCUGAUCCAGCAAUGCCGCGUGUGUGAAGAAGGCCUUCGGGUUGUAAAGCACUUUUGUCCGGAAAGAAAUCCUUGGCUCUAAUACAGUCGGGGGAUGACGGUACCGGAAGAAUAAGCACCGGCUAACUACGUGCCAGCAGCCGCGGUAAUACGUAGGGUGCAAGCGUUAAUCGGAAUUACUGGGCGUAAAGCGUGCGCAGGCGGUUUGCUAAGACCGAUGUGAAAUCCCCGGGCUCAACCUGGGAACUGCAUUGGUGACUGGCAGGCUAGAGUAUGGCAGAGGGGGGUAGAAUUCCACGUGUAGCAGUGAAAUGCGUAGAGAUGUGGAGGAAUACCGAUGGCGAAGGCAGCCCCCUGGGCCAAUACUGACGCUCAUGCACGAAAGCGUGGGGGAGCAAACAGGAUUAGAUACCCUGGUAGUCCACGCCCUAAACGAUGUCAACUAGUUGUUGGGGAUUCAUUUCCUUAGUAACGUAGCUAACGCGUGAAGUUGACCGCCUGGGGGAGUACGGUCGCAAGAUUAAAACUUAAAGGAAUUGACGGGGU
rnacentral:rRNA from 1 species